rnacentral:tRNA from 1 species
GCUCGGUUCGUCUAGCGGUUAGGACUCCGCCCUUUCAAGGCGGCAACACGGAUUUCGAAUUCCGUACCGAGUACCA